rnacentral:lncRNA from 7 species
GGAAGGAUCUCUGGUUGGAGAUCCCUUUCUGGUGGAGUUUUUCCAGGGAGUGACCUUUGGAGAUGGUGGUCAGUUUGCAGAGUACUGUGCAGAGAAGGGAGUGACAGCAAUGAGCCCUUCUGAAGAGUAUAACCCAUCAGUCAAGUGGCUGGACUGUGAGGGGAAAAGUAUCCUUGUUUUGACUUCUUUGUCGUAGUGCCUGGGGGGAAGUGUAGAAAGAUAUCAUCCCUUGGGAAAGACUGAGGCUUUUCCCACCUUGCAUGACACUUCCAGGAAUAAAAGGGAGGAGUUGGCUAUAGCCUGCUUUGUGUUGCCUGUCAAUCUGUUCCUGAGCAAUACUCUGUGGCAGCUGUAUGUGGUUUCUCAAGAAAUGGCGACUUACAUCACCAUCUUUCUCCAGCUGACUGCACCACUAAACUCCUGGUCAUCUUUGGCGCAGCAGGAAGAGUCAAAGUCAGACAGGAAUGAGACUUAUGGAUCAUCACUGUACCUUUGUGCUCAACAGUACCAGAAAUAUUUCUUCUUAGUGAUGUUUUACUCAGAACUCUGUCAGUGAGAAUCCAAAGUGUUCUGUCCCUUGAACUUCUUGUUUCAUUUACCUGAAAAAUAUUGAGUUUUGCUUUAGAGUAUUGAAAAUCUAUAUUGUCUCCCAGCUUGCUUCCUUGGCUCACUUCAGCUGGACUUUGGGAUGGUACUGCUGUGAUUGCUUAUGUUGCCAUGGUGGGUCCAGACUUUUCAGUUUGUGUUCAAAAAAUGUUCCUGCUUUAUUAGGACAUCAGGUUUUCCUGUAAGUUCAACUUUCUCUCAGUAAAGGAAUAUUUCUGGUAAUAUUACUACACUGGAAUCAUUACUGAAGAUUCUUGUGCCUGAACCAUUGUGCCAAGGUAGUGUGAAAGGCUUUACAGUGGCUAAGUGCUCAGUUUUAGGCCCCUGCUUCCAUUUAUAAAUGACUUUCCCAAUUUGUCUACAAAACCACAUUUCAUUUUGCAGUCUUUUACGGGGACAGAUUUUGUACAGUUUACUUUCCAUCUGGAGUUCAGCUCUGCUUUCUUCUGGCCAAGGAUGUGACUAUUGGUGCUCUACAUCCCGGGUAGCUGCUCUGGCUUCUUGCUAAGCAAAACAUCUCUCUUUCCAGUUUUGACCAGACGUUGUACGUCAGAGCCAAGAAAACAUUUCUGGAUAUAAACUCAUUUGAAACUUUUGUGCUUUAGUAUGGUUCAGAAUUACUCAGUCGACUCUUUUUCAAAGAAAAUAUUCUGGCAGUGCUGUUUGGAGAUACUUUGGCCAUAAUGCUCUGAAUUAUUUGUUGUGCCAGAACAGCCAUAUUGCACAGGACAUGUGUGAAGCUGGGAAUGGGAUCAAGGCAAAUCUGUAGGUCUGGGCUCUGUGUCACAGGGCUGUUUUUCAUCUAUUGUGAGUUCUAAGCCCAUUUCUGAAACUCAGUAAUAUUCAGGGAAAGACAAACAUUAAAGUAAUAGUGGCAAAGAGCUAUUACUCAGCUUUCCAAUUGUCACCAUUCCGUUGCUUUCAUCACACCUAGCACUGAAAUGUUGGAGCCUUUGGUGCUUUCAGCAAUGCUUCUGUUUUAUUUCAUACUUUCUCCUGGUCCCUGUGAUAUAUUCAUCAUUCUCAUAGUUUAGAACCCAUUUUCAUUUAAUAUUCCCUUUUUGGAAAAUUUUCGAUUGUAUAUUUUGUAUUGAGAGGACAAUAAGUAUAUCUGCACGUGUGGUACAGUAUAUAAGAUUAGUUCAUGAAGCAGACAAAAAGUAACAAUCUAACUGCUGCAAGGGUACCAGUUAUAAGGAUAUGGUUCUAAGAUGCUCACUUGAAUUAUUUACUUGCUUGUUGGAGAAGCAUGUAAUGUCAUAAGUUUUCCAUACAAAAUCAUUGAAAAUUAGAAUCUGUGGCUGGGUUGUUGUUAUUAUUGUUGUCAUUACUUUGUUACUAUAAUUUUGGUAAACUGAUUAAAAAAUAAUUUGACUGCUUUAGU